GUGGGGAAUUUUGGACAAUGGGCGCAAGCCUGAUCCAGCAAUGCCGCGUGCAGGAAGAAGGCCUUCGGGUUGUAAACUGCUUUUGUACGGAACGAAACGGUCCGGGUUAAUAUCCUGGGCUAAUGACGGUACCGUAAGAAUAAGCACCGGCUAACUACGUGCCAGCAGCCGCGGUAAUACGUAGGGUGCAAGCGUUAAUCGGAAUUACUGGGCGUAAAGCGUGCGCAGGCGGUUUUGUAAGACAGGCGUGAAAUCCCCGGGCUCAACCUGGGAAUUGCGCUUGUGACUGCAAGGCUGGAGUGCGGCAGAGGGGGAUGGAAUUCCGCGUGUAGCAGUGAAAUGCGUAGAUAUGCGGAGGAACACCGAUGGCGAAGGCAAUCCCCUGGGCCUGCACUGACGCUCAUGCACGAAAGCGUGGGGAGCAAACAGGAUUAGAUACCCUGGUAGUCC
rnacentral:rRNA from 1 species